UACGGGGGGGGCAAGCGUUGUUCGGAAUUACUGGGCGUAAAGGGCCCGUAGGCGGCCAACUAAGUCAUACGUGAAAUCCCUCGGCUUAACCGGGGAACUGCGUCUGAUACUGGAUGGCUUGAGAUUGGGAGAGGGAUGCGGAAUUCCAGGUGUAGCGGUGAAAUGCGUAGAUAUCUGGAGGAACACCGGUGGCGAAGGCGGCAUCCUGGACCAACACUGACGCUGAGGAGCGAAAGCCAGGGGAGCAAACGGG
rnacentral:rRNA from 1 species